AUGUGCUAUGUGGAAACUGACCCUGUCCGGGAGUGUGUGUGUGUGUGUGUGUGUCACAGGACUUGCAUCUGUGUCACAGCUGUCACUGGGCUGACAUGCUGUCCUGUCGCACGUUCUCUCCUCAGUUGCGCUGGACUCCCUGGCUGCUGGCCUUCAGGAGGAGUCCCCGGCUCACAAGGCAGUGAGGUGUUGGUUCGAUGUGUUCAGUGCACACUCAUGUUGUGUGAUUGCGCCAGAUCCUCUGAAGAAGUUUUUCCAUCACACACUGGUACAGACGCUCACGCACAGUCCUAUGCUGAAAGUGUCAGAUGCCAUCCAGAUGCAGAGAGAGUGGAGCUUCUCGAGAACACACCCUCUGCUUACGUCUCUCUACUGCCGGGUGAGUGGGGCUGUCCCUGUGCUUCCCACAUUUCCAUAAGUGGACACUAGUGCCGGAUGUUGAGUCUCCUCAAGACAUGGUUGUUCCCGCCUGGGCUGUAUCCCAGGGUCAGGAGGGGAACUUGUCCCCUGGCGGAGCACCAGGGACGAGAGUUCCUCCAGCCAGUGCUGACCACUGUGGAGAGGAGAGACGCUGUGACUCUCAUGUCCCUGCUCCUUGCCACCUCCAGGCUGUCCAGCAGGCAGUGGGCUGUGGCUAGAGGGAGGCAGGGACCUGUGCUGUGUCUGGUGGCUGGCUGAGCUGUGGCAGGAGCAGAGCUUUCCUUUCAGCUCUUCAUAAUGCUGAGCCCUGAGGAAGCAGUUCGCUGUCUGCAGGAAGUUUUGGAGGAGCAGGAAGUCAACUGGCAGCGUGUGCUGUCCUGUGUGUCUGUGCUGGUCAUCUGCUUCCCUGAGGCACAGCAGCUGGUAAGAGGUGCGUGCAGAAAGCCGGGUGUGCCGUGUGUAUGCAUAUGUGCUUUGCAUACUGAUGGCAGCAUAACCCUGGUGCUUGAGGGUGAGCCCAUGUACAGGGCCCUUCCUAACCUGCAGACCCUCUGCCUGUUUGGUGCUGAGUGCUGCUCCUGAG
rnacentral:lncRNA from 1 species